rnacentral:lncRNA from 1 species
UUUGACAUCUGAUUUGUGAAAUUUUUAUAUGGUUAGACUUGUGAGAGUACGAGGAUUCUGAAAAUGUAAAAUUUAUCUGAUUCCGAGACAUUGGCCUGAGGGACAUUUUGGUUAUUUUACCUAAUUUCGCAUCUUAUCUUUGAAUUAAAUAGUAGAAUCUAUUUUUUGAGAUGUUAAUUAUGAUAUGUAAUUAAAUUGAAUAGAUUUGGGCCAUUUGGAGUCAGAUACUCGUGGCAAAAGUGUUAUUUCAAGUUGAAUGUGGAGCCGGUUUGAGGUAAGUGGCUUGUCUAACCUUGUGUGGGAGACCUUUACCCUAGGAUAUGUUAUUUGAUAAUUGAGUGCCUUGUACGUGAGGUAAUAAGCACAUACUUAGCUAAUCGUUGAAAAUCCAAUUUUUACCUAAGAUAUUGAGACUGAGUUUCUUUCGUACUUACUUAUCUUACUUGCAAUUAUAACGUGUUUUCGAUUAGAAAGACAUGUUUAGUUGAUUUAGCUUGCCUGCUUGCUUAAAUUGUCAUAACCGCACUACGUGAGACAUGUUAGGCUAGAACUAUCUAUUCCUUGAUUCUUGUGCUUCAUUUAUGAAUAUUCUCUGAUUGUGGUUGCGCAUUUAUAUUUGAGACUAUGAGUUAGAUUCUCGAAAGACCCCCCUACAUAUUUACUUUGGGACUAUGAGUUAGAUUUUCGGGAGAUUCCCCUGCAUUUUUUUUUGGGAAUACGGGUUAGAUUCCUGGAAGAUCCCCCUGCAUAAUUACUCUGAGACUACAGGUUAAAUUCCCGAGAGAUCCCCCUGCACGUUUAUAUUAUGGACUAUAGGACGGUAUCCUGGGAGAUCCUCGUUAUUGGUAUUGAUAUGGGAAUGGACUACAAGACGGUAUCCUGGGAGAUUCUCGUUGUUGGUAUUGAUAUGGAAAUGGACUACAGGAGGGUAUCCUGGAAGAUCCUCGUAAUUGGUAUCGAUAUUGAGCCAUUUUGCUAUAUGCUAUCUUAUCCUCGGUGUGUUGAUUAUUGUUUGUGUAACCUAACUUGCUUCACAGUUGUAUUUUAUUUUCUGCUUACUGUAUAUUGUUGUAAGUAUUUUUCUUAUAUUUGUUUAAUCUCAGUAGGGCCCUGACCUUCCUCGUCACUGCCCGACCGAGGUUAGGCUUUGCACUUGCUGAGUACCUCUGUGGUGUACUCAUGUCCCUUCUGCGCAUGUUUUUCAUGUGUAGAUCCACGUACUUCCACUCUAGCGUACUACCCUCGAGGCGGAGAGAUCUAGCGGAGACUUCGAGGUAUAUCUGCCGCAUCUGCAGACCAAGAGUCUCUAUUCUGUUUCAGCUUUAGUAGUUAUUCCAUCAUUUUAUUUCAGUUGUUUAGACAUUUUGGAGUUAGAGCAGUAUGUUACAUUCUAUUAGCCUGUGGUUCCCUUGAGUUUCUGGGUUUUGGGGUGUUACUGUAGACUUCUGCAUUUUAAGUUGUAUAUGCCAUGUGGCACUUAUAUACUGUUUUCUUCUAG